CGCUGGCGGCGUGCCUCAGACAUGCAAGUCGAACGCGAAAGUCCCCUUCGGGGGAUAAGUAGAGUGGCGUCCGGGUGAGUAACACGUAGGUAAUCUACCUUCGGGUGGGGAAUAACCCAGGGAAACUUGGGCUAAUACCGCAUAAUGCAGCGGCACCACAUGGUGACAGUUGUUAAAGCGGGGGAUCUUCGGAUCUCGCGCCUGAAGAGGAGCCUGCGGCAGAUUAGCUAGUUGGUAGGGUAACGGCUUACCAAGGCGACGAUCUGUAGCCGGCCUGAGAGGGCGGUCGGCCACACUGACACUGACAUACGGGUCAGACUCCUACGGGAGGCAGCAGUCGGGAAUUUUGGGCAAUGGGCGAAAGCCUGACCCAGCAACGCCGCGUGAAGGAUGAAAUCCUUCGGGAUGUAAACUUCGCAAGAAUGGGAAGAAUUAGUAGGGGUUAAUACCCUCUAUGAUGACGGUACCAUUUGUAAGCUCCGGCUAACUCCGUGCCAGCAGCCGCGGUAAUACGGGGGGAGCAAGCGUUGUUCGGAUUUACUGGGCGUAAAGGGCGCGUAGGCGGUCAGCACAAGUCAGUUGUGAAAUCUCCGGGCUUAACUCGGAAAGGUCAACUGAUACUGUGCGACUAGAGUGCAGAAGGGGCAACUGGAAUUCUCGGUGUAGCGGUGAAAUGCGUAGAUAUCGAGAGGAACACCUGCGGCGAAGGCGGGUUGCUGGGCUGACACUGACGCUGAUGCGCGAAAGCCAGGGGAGCGAACGGGAUUAGAUACCCCGGUAGUCCUGGCCUUAAACGAUGGAUGCUUGGUGUCUGGAGUUUUAUAGUCUCCGGGUGCCGUAGCUAACGCGUUAAGCAUCCCGCCUGGGGAGUACGGUCGCAAGACUGAAACUCAAAGGAAUUGACGGGGACCCGCACAAGCGGUGGAGCAUGUGGUUCAAUUCGACGCAACGCGAAGAACCUUACCUGGGCUAGAAUGCCUCUGACAACUCCAGAGAUGGAGCUUUCUAGGGAAACCUAGACGGAGUGCAAGGUGCUGCAUGGCUGUCGUCAGCUCGUGUCGUGAGAUGUUGGGUUAAGUCCCGCAACGAGCGCAACCCUUAUCGAUAGUUGCUAGCGGUUCGGCCGAGCACUCUAUUGAGACUGCCGUUGACAAAACGGGGAGGAAGGUGGGGACGACGUCAAGUCAGUAUGGCCCUUACGGCCUGGGCUGCACACGUACUACAAUGCUCAGUACAGAACGAUCCGAGACCGCGAGGUGGAGGAAAUCUAGUAAAACUGAGCCCAGUUCGGAUUGGAGUCUGCAACUCGACUCCAUGAAGCCGGAAUCGCUAGUAAUGGCGCAUCAGCUACGGCGCCGUGAAUACGUUCCCGGGCCUUGUACACACCGCCCGUCACAUCAUGGAAGUCACUUGUAGCCGAAGUCGGCGCGCUAACCCAGCAAUGGGAGGCAGCCGCCUACGCUAUGAGCGGUAACUGGGAUGAA
rnacentral:rRNA from 1 species